rnacentral:rRNA from 1 species
AACUACCCUACAGAGAACGAUAACCUCGGGAAACUGAGGCUAAUAGUUCAUACGGGAGUCAUGCUGGAAUGCCGACUCCCCGAAACGCUCAGGCGCUGUAGGAUGUGGCUGCGGCCGAUUAGGUAGACGGUGGGGUAACGGCCCACCGUGCCGAUAAUCGGUACGGGUUGUGAGAGCAAGAGCCCGGAGACGGAAUCUGAGACAAGAUUCCGGGCCCUACGGGGCGCAGCAGGCGCGAAACCUUUACACUGCACGCAAGUGCGAUAAGGGGACCCCAAGUGCGAGGGCAUAUAGUCCUCGCUUUUCACGACUGUAAGGCGGUCGUGGAAUAAGAGCUGGGCAAGACCGGUGCCAGCCGCCGCGGUAAUACCGGCAGCUCAAGUGAUGACCGAUAUUAUUGGGCCUAAAGCGUCCGUAGCCGGCCACGAAGGU